rnacentral:rRNA from 1 species
CCUACGGGUGGCAGCAGUGGGGAAUAUUGCACAAUGGGGGCAACCCUGAUGCAGCGACGCCGCGUGAAGGAAGAAGUAUUUCGGUAUGUAAACUUCUAUCAGCGGGGAGGAAAAUUACGGUACCUGCCUAAGAAUCCCCGUCUAACUCCGUGCCAGCAGCCGCGGUAAUACGUAGGGGGCACGCGUUAUCCGGAUGUACUGGGUGUAAAGGGAGCGUAGGCGGUUUAGCAAGUCAGAAGUGAAAGCCCGGGGCUCAACUCCGGGACUGCUUUUGAAACUGGUGAACUGGAGUGCAGUAGAGGUAAGUGGAAUUCGUGGUGUAGCGGUGAAAGGCGUAGAGAUUAGGAGGAAAACCAGUGGCGAAGGCGGCUGACUGGACUGUAAAUGACGCUGAGGCUCGAAAGCGUGGGGAGCAAACAGGAUUAGAUACCCGUGUAGUC